rnacentral:rRNA from 1 species
UAGAAGUAAAAGUCGUAACAAGGUUUCCGUAGGUGAACCUGCGGAAGGAUCAUUAAUAGAGACGGCUCUCACGAGCUAAGUCCCCCACCCUUGCGUAUUUAUACUUUGUUGCUUUGGCGGGUUGUUCAGCCCUAAACCGUUGAGCCUUUAGCUUUCACAAGCCGAAGAGUCGCCCGCCAGAGGAUACCAAAAUUCUUAUUAUCAAUGUCGUCUGAGUACUAUAUAAUAGUUAAAACUUUCAACAACGGAUCUCUUGGUUCUGGCAUCGAUGAAGAACGCAGCGAAAUGCGAUAAGUAAUGUGAAUUGCAGAAUUCAGUGAAUCAUCGAAUCUUUGAACGCACAUUGCGCCCCUUGGUAUUCCGGGGGGCAUGCCUGUUCGAGCGUCAUUUCAACACUCAAGCUCUGCUUGGUAUUGGGCUUCAUACCAGUAAAAUGGUAGGCCUCAAAGUCAGUGGCGGUGCCGUUGGGUUCUGAACGUAGUAAUAUAUUUCGUUACAGAUAUCCAGCGCGCUUCUGCCAUUAAACCCCCAAUUUUCUAGUCUUGACCUCGGAUCAGGUAGGGAUACCCGCUGAACUUAAGCAUAUAA